GAGUUUGACCAUGGCUCAGGAUGAACGCUAGCGGCAGGCUUAACACAUGCAAGUCGAGGGGUAACAGGAUUUAGUUUACUAGACCUGCUGACGACCGGCGCACGGGUGAGUAACGCGUAUACAAUUUACCUUUUACAGGGGGAUAGCCUUUAGAAAUGAAGAUUAAUACCCCAUGGUAUUAUAGAGUGGCAUCACUUUAUGAUUAAAGCUUCGGCGGUAAGAGAUGAGUAUGCGUCCUAUUAGCUAGAUGGUAAGGUAACGGCUUACCAUGGCGACGAUAGGUAGGGGUCCUGAGAGGGAGAUCCCCCACACUGGUACUGAGACACGGACCAGACUCCUACGGGAGGCAGCAGUGAGGAAUAUUGGUCAAUGGAGGCAACUCUGAACCAGCCAUGCCGCGUGCAGGAAGACGGUCCUAUGGAUUGUAAACUGCUUUUAUAGAGGAAGAAACCCUGUUACGUGUAAUCGGCUGGCGGUACUCUACGAAUAAGCGCCGGCCAACUACGUGCCAGCAGCCGCGGUAAGACGUAGGGCGCGAGCGUUAUCCGGAUUUAUUGGGCGUAAAGGGCUCGUAGGCGGUUAUGUAAGUCGGGUGUGAAAACUUGGGGCUUAACCCUGAGAGGCCAUUCGAUACUGCAUUGACUGGAGUUCGGUAGAGGAGUGUGGAAUUCCUAGUGUAGCGGUGAAAUGCGCAGAUAUUAGGAGGAACACCUAUUGCGAAGGCAGCACUCUGGGCCGAUACUGACGCUGAGGAGCGAAAGCGUGGGUAGCAAACAGGAUUAGAUACCCUGGUAGUCCACGCCGUAAACGGUGGGCACUAGAUGUGGGGACUUUCAACGGUUUCUGUGUC
rnacentral:rRNA from 1 species